GGGGCCUGUUGCACAAAAGUAGAAUUAAGACAUCCGGGAUAAAUGACUCAGCUGAGCUCAAUGAAGCCAAAACAUGUGCGUCCAGGCUUAAUUGGUUGCACAAAGACCAAGCCAGGAUGAGCAGACACGGAUUCAUUAAGCCAGGUGAAACCAAUCCUGGAUAGGUGCGCGCUCACGGCUCACUCAAAUAGACCCCGCCACAGAUCACAGAUUAACUGAUUUACCAUGGCAACUAGAGCCGCGUACUUUUCCCCGUCGGAAGCACAAAUCCUCAUGGAGGCAUACGAGGAGGUAAAAGAUAUAAUUAAGAAGAAAGGCAACACCGCCACAGUGAUAAAGCAAAGAGAAAAAGCGUGGCAAAGUAUUGCAGACCGCCUGAAUGCGUAAGUAGUGCACAAUUACACACUCACCGCUCCGCUGAAACAUCACAAUUACAAUUCAAAUAUUUAAUUCACAUCUCCAAAAAUGCAGUUGUACUGUAAUUAUGAAACGGUUAAAUUGUUAAUUGAAAUGCACUGCAGAUAUGAGUGAAAUUGUGUAAAGUAACUCCAUCACACUGUAUAAAGCUAUGAUAAAUUUUUUGAUAUUUUUACUGAAAACAAGACAAAAAUACCAAGUAAUUUUUUGCAGUGUGACUCCAUUAAAUGUGUGUGUGUGUAGAUUAAACAUGAACGGGCCAAAACGGACAUGGCAGCAGGUCAAAAUCAAAUACAAGAACAUUCUGCAGAAUGCAGUGAAAAAGAAUACCCACAGACAAGGCACGGGUGGUGGGUCACCAAAGGCUGACCUUACCCCAGCAGAGGACAUGGCCUUGGAGCUAAAUAAAGGCAGGCCCGUCUUAGAGGGGAUCCCUGGGGGAAAGAGACGAGCAUAGGUUCCUCCCAAGAUGCCACCCGCUUCAUUCAAGUGCCUGGCAGCACUGUGUUCCUGUUAGAGCCACCAGCACAAGCACCAGACGAUGCUGAUCCAGGUGAAGGCCCCAGUGCAGCAGCAACAGCACAUGAUGGAGACUAUGAUGAGGAGGAGACCAUCUCUCUGGAUUCCAGAAGGCAUGAGGACCCAGAUGCUAUACAGUGGGAAAACCAGCCUGGCAACAUAGUGCGUAUUAAUAAAAGGACACCACAUCCUGCCAAAUUCCAGCUGCGCUAAUUGUAUUGUGUUCACAGAGCUCACAAGCUAUCAGAAAGUUGUAUGGCAACCACCUCCGGCGCCAAAUAGAACUGGCAGACAUAGACAUUCAGUACAAGAAGAAAAAGAUGGAAAAUCUUGCACUGGAGUCCGAAAUAAAAAAGAGGACAAUUAGGAAACUGGACCUUGAAAUAAAAAAACUUGAGAGGGAGCUCCAAGAAGAUGACACAGCUCAAAAUAAAAAUUAGGUAUAUUCUCGUAAAGUCAAGUGAGCCAUGACAUAUGAGCUCUUAUUGUGAGCACACAGGACGGUGGCAUCUUUCUAAGGUUUUUUUUAUUUUCCCAGCAAUCAGUACAACCAAGUCAUCGUUAUAAGGCAUCGCCCUCUUUUGCCCACCCCCCCAGCACCAGGUGUGGCCACUAGCCUAUAUGAAGGCCCAAAAUUGUGUGUUCCU